rnacentral:rRNA from 1 species
UGAAGAGAUUUCGGUCAAUCAUGUGCAUCUUUAGUGGCGGACGGGUGAGUAACGCGUGGGUAACCUGCCUUACACAGGGGGAUAACACUUAGAAAUAGGUGCUAAUACCGCAUGAGCGCACAGGACCGCAUGGUCGAGUGUGAAAAACUGAGGUGGUGUAAGAUGGACCCGCGUCUGAUUAGCUGGUUGGUGAGGUAACGGCCCACCAAGGCGACGAUCAGUAGCCGGCCUGAGAGGGUGGACGGCCACAUUGGGACUGAGACACGGCCCAAACUCCUACGGGAGGCAGCAGUGGGGGAUAUUGGACAAUGGGGGGAACCCUGAUCCAGCGACGCCGGGUGAGUGAAGAAGUAUCUCGGUAUGUAAAGCUCUAUCAGCAGGGAAGAAGAAAUGACGGUACCUGAGUAAGAAGCCCCGGCUAACUACGUGCCAGCAGCCGCGGUAAUACGUAGGGGGCAAGCGUUAUCCGGAAUUACUGGGUGUAAAGGGAGCGUAGACGGUGAUGUAAGUCUGGAGUGAAAGGCGGGGGCCCAACCCCCGGACUGCUCUGGAAACUAUGUGACUGGAGUGCAGGAGAGGUGAGCGGAAUUCCUAGUGUAGCGGUGAAAUGCGUAGAUAUUAGGAGGAACACCAGUGGCGAAGGCGGCUCACUGGACUGUAACUGACGUUGAGGCUCGAAAGCGUGGGGAGCAAACAGGAUUAGAUACCCUGGUAGUCCACGCCGUAAACGAUGAUCACUAGGUGUGGGUGGGUAUGGACCCAUCGGUGCCGCAGCAAAC